GGACUGGGAGAGCCUCCUGUGGGCACCACCUCCAGAAUCCAAAUGAUUUUGGAUCUGAGCUGCUCUGGCAGUGAUGGAUUGGGUGCUGGUUAAUAUUCCUGCAGGUGGAAGCAAAUCUGCCUGGCUGAAGGGGAGAAGAUGAUGACCAGCACGACGAUGAGGGCGAUGGUGGAUGAGAGGGACCCCUCCAGCUGCUCGCUCUCCGUGUCCCUGGUGGAGUUCAGCUGUCACAUUCCCGUGGGGAGGAGAACACAAAACCACCGAGAGCCAAAGCAGCCAGUUCUGGAAGGGCUGGGGUUUGUGAUCUCCCUCAGGGCCGGGAGCUGGAGCUGCCAAACCAACCCAGGAACGCUUGAAAGUCUCGGAUCUGCAAAGCUCGGCUUGGCCUUCAGCUGAGUUUGGAGGAAACGUGAUCUGGAUUUGAUUUUCCCAUGUGCUCACCCCUCGGAAUGUUCUUUGCCUGAGCCCCUUGUGAUUCCACCCAGUGCUAGAACUGACACCUUGCACAAAGGUUGGAGCAAGGCAAUAAUCUUUUAAUUAAGUGGACAAAACCCUGCUUUUAUCCCAGUGAACAAGAAAUCUCUGCUCUUCAGCGUCCUGGCCUUGUUAUUCCUGAAGAAAAGAAAAAGGCUGGGAGUUUUGGGAUCACUCAUUCCAGCCACCAGCCAGGGGAAAGUUGUGUUCCUACAAAAGCAUCAAAACCUGGUGGGAUCCUGAUUCUCCUGGGAGCUGCUCUGGGCUUGGAUAACUUGGAUAACAAAACCAGAGCAGAACCUGAUCCCACCUUCCCUCUGCCUUGGAAGAUCCUUGGAACAAUCCCGUGCCACUGCUGGGGACAUUUUUGGGAUGCAGAGGAGCUGCUGUGCUCAGCAGGGCCAUAAAUGCAAGGUGCUGCUCUCCUGGGCAUUUGUUUGACAGCCACGUGAGGUUAAUUGUGAUUUUAAUCAAGUAAUCCUUGAAGAGUUGAUUAAUUAAAGCCACAGGUGUGUUUGGCUUCGGGCUCUCUCUGAUUUCCCUCCCACUGAUUUUAUCCGUGGCCUCUGCUUGUUUAAUGUGUUCAUUCAGCCUCAGUGUGAUUUGAUAAACAGUUUUGAUUUGAGGAACAGCAGCAGCUUUUGGGGUGUGAUCGCAGCCUCCUCGUCACUGCCUGUUCUGGCAAAUCUGAGCUCUGCAAAGUCCAAAUCCUCCAGGAAUGGUCCUGCUCCCAGGAGCAAACUGUGCUCCAACCCCAGCUCCUGAUGGAUUCCCUCCUGGAAGGUGCCUGGGAUGUUCAUUUGAGCCUUCUUGUCCAGGAAAUGUGAGGAAAGUUCUUAUCCUGAGCACUGGAAUCCUUGGAUGAGCGGUGAGAGGGAAGUUGAUUGUCCUGACCUUUGGAAUGUUUGGGUGCCACUUUUAGGGUGGCUUUAAAUCUCCAUGAAAUGCUCCCCUGAGGACUGAACUGGCACAAACAUGUGGGGAGGAGACAUUGGGGCUUGUUCCUUCCACAGGAAUAGUAAUAAAAAUAAUCAUAAUAAUCA
rnacentral:lncRNA from 1 species